AACAAUUGAGUUACCUUGGAAUGAUAUAUUUUGGGCUUGAAUGUACCUACUUUGCUACGAGUUACCAUAGGAUGAGUAUUGACUAUAUCAUGAGAGAACUGACUGGGAUCAGAAGUGUCAAUUAGACGAGGUUGACUUGACUCAAAAGAAACAGUAGGCUCAAUAGGGUUGGAAGUAAGUAAUGGUAAUGUAGACAUUGGAUUGGGUAACUCAGUUGAUAGGGGUUGUUGUUGAACUAGAUUUGGAGACUGUUGGUAAGUUGUUUAUGGUUGUGAGUGAC
rnacentral:lncRNA from 1 species